UGGUUCGUCACGUCGGAUGUGAAACUCUGGGGCUUAACCCCAGACCUGCAUUCGAUACGGGCGAGCUUGAGUAUGGUAGGGGAGUCUGGAAUUCCUGGUGUAGCGGUGGAAUGCGCAGAUAUCAGGAGGAACACCAAUGGCGAAGGCAGGACUCUGGGCCAUUACUGACACUGAGGAGCGAAAGCGUGGGGAGCGAACAGGAUUAGAUACCCUGGUAGUCCACGCCGUAAACGGUGGGCACUAGUUGUGGGGACCUUCCACGGUCUCUGCGACGCAGCUAACGCAUUAAGUGCCCCGCCUGGGGAGUACGAUCGCAAGAUUAAAACUCAAAGGAAUUGACGGGGCCCCGCACAAGCAGCGGAGCAUGCGGCUUAAUUCGACGCAACGCGAAGAACCUUACCAAGGCUUGACAUAUACAGGAAUAUGGCAGAGAUGUCAUAGCCGCAAGGUCUGUAUACAGGUGGUGCAUGGUUGUCGUCAGCUCGUGUCGUGAGAUGUUGGGUUAAGUCCCGCAACGAGCGCAACCCUCGUUCUGUGUUGCCAGCAUUUAGUUGGGGACUCACAGGAGACUGCCGGGGUUAACUCGGAGGAAGGUGGGGAUGACGUCAAAUCAUCAUGCCCCUUAUGUCUUGGGCUGCACGCAUGCUACAAUGGCUGGUACAAACGGCUGCAAUACCGCAAGGUGGAGCGAAUCCGAGAAAGCCAGUCUCAGUUCGGAUUGGGGUCUGCAACUCGACCCCAUGAAGUCGGAGUUGCUA
rnacentral:rRNA from 1 species